CUGCGGAAGGAUCAUUAUAGAAAAUGACGUGAACUCUUAACGGAGUUCUCUCAAAGUGUUGGAGGGGAAGGCCUGCGCUUAAUUGCGCGGCUGUUUUUAAUCUCCUCCGCCUUUGAUACACACAUUGGAGUUUCUACUUUUUUGUUCUCUUUGGGAGGGUUCUGCUCUCCCAGAGGUAAACACAAACAAUCUUUUAUUAUACUAUUAACACAGUCAAAUGAAUUUUAAAAACAAAAUAUUCAAAACUUUCAACAACGGAUCUCUUGGUUCUCGCAUCGAUGAAGAACGCAGCGAACUGCGAUACGUAAUGUGAAUUGCAGAAUUCCGUGAAUCAUCGAAUCUUUGAACGCACAUUGCGCCCCUUGGUAUUCCGGGGGGCAUGCCUGUUUGAGCGUCAUUUCCCUCUCAAACUUUACGUUUGGUAGUGAGCGAUACUCUACUCUGGAGUUUGCUUGAAAAUGGGAGGCCAUAGGCGGAGCUUAGUUUGCGACUGUGCCGAGAGGCAUGGGAGCGGCCUAGCCACGAAAAGUCGUAUUAGGUUUUACCGACUCGGCGGAAUAGUGGAGAGGUUUCUUUUUUUUUUAUUCUAAGGUAAGCCGUCUGGCUAGACAAAAUCCUCAAAGUUUGACCUCAAAUCAGGUAGGAUUACCCGCUGAACUUAAGCAUAUCAA
rnacentral:misc_RNA from 1 species